rnacentral:lncRNA from 1 species
GCACUUCAUAGUCUCCGACGCACCUCCAAACCCUUUCUCCUGCUCUAGGCCCAGCGCCUUGGACGUGCACAGUAGAUCCCUCCCGGCUUCCCGGCUUCCCGUCUCGUCACCCUCUGGGCUGUGACCAUCUAUGACAAGCCGGCAUCUUUCUUUAAAGAGACACCUCUGGACCUGCUGCACCGGCUCUUCAUGAAGCUGGGUGGCACUCACUCUCUGUUCAGGGCCUGCUCAGAACCUGAGGACGCAGCCAUGGAGCGGUCGGCCUUCAUGGAGCUGGAUGCUGGGAGCAGGCUGGUGAUGCAUCUCCGCGAGUGGCCAGCCCUGCUGGUCAGCAGCACGGGCUGGACAGUUUACAUGAGCUGGUGAAACAUGAAGAAAAUGGCCUGGUCUUUGAGGACUCAGAGGAACUGGCAGCUCUGCAGAUGCUUUUCUCAAACUUUCCUGAUCCUGCAGGCAAGCUAAACCAGUUUUGGAAGAACCUGCGGGAGUCGCAGCAGCUCCGAUGGGAUGAGAGCUGGGUGCAGACUGUGCUCCCUUUGGUUAUGGACAUACAACUCCUGGGCCAGAGGCUAAAACCCCGGGACCCCUGCUGUCCUUCCCGCAGCUUCUUCUCGGAGUCUCAGGGCAAACCCUUUUGAGCAGCGCCUCCCAGUGGCCAGAAGCUGAAAUGACGGCAGUGGUGCCGCCUGGUGAAUGAAUUGGUUCUGUGACCCGGGAAGCUGUGCUUGGCUCUGAUUUCUUUUCCGGAGGCUCGGAAACACUUCCUCUCUUCUUCUGUUCUUCAUGCCCCAUGCCCCUGCUAGCGUAUUACUGUUCUGUGACUUCCCUGUGACCUCUGCAGUACUCCUUAUCCUGCGUUUGGUCUCCAGGUGUCACCUUUCUGCCGUGUUCCUAACAUUUUGAUUCCUGUCUUGAAAAAAGCACCUGCUGCAUCGUAAGCCCAGGGAUGUGGCAGCUGCAGCGGGCUUGGCUUUGUGAAGAACUGAGUGUGUCCGCGGAUGUGGCAGCUGCAGCAGUCUUGGCUUUGUGAGGAACCAAGUGUGUCCAGGGAUGUGGCAGCUGCAGCAGGCUUGGCUUUGUGAGGAACCGAGUGUGUCCACAUACUUGAUACACACGUUUUUAUUUGCACAAAGAAAAUGCUAUUUUU